rnacentral:rRNA from 1 species
GAUCCUGGCUCAGGAUGAACGCUAGCUACAGGCUUAACACAUGCAAGUCGAGGGGCGGCAUGAACUUAGCUUGCUAAGUUUGAUGGCGACCGGCGCACGGGUGAGUAACACGUAUCCAACCUUCCGUUUACUCAGGGAUAGCCUUUCGAAAGAAAGAUUAAUACCUGAUAGUAUGGUGAGAUUGCAUGAUAACACCAUUAAAGAUUUAUUGGUAAACGAUGGGGAUGCGUUCCAUUAGGUAG